AUACGUAGGGGGCGAGCGUUGUCCGGAAUUAUUGGGCGUAAAGGGUUCGCAGGCGGUCUGAUAAGUCAGAUGUGAAAGGCAAUGGCUCAACCAUUGUAAGCAUUUGAAACUGUCAGACUUGAGUUAAGGAGAGGAAAGUGGAAUUCCUAGUGUAGCGGUGAAAUGCGUAGAUAUUAGGAGGAAUACCAGUGGCGAAGGCGACUUUCUGGACUUAUACUGACGCUGAGGAACGAAAGCGGGGGGAGCAAACAGGAUUAGAUACCCUGGUAGUCCACGCCGUAAACGAUGAGUGCUAGGUGUUGGGGGUCAAACCUCGGUGCCGCAGCUAACGCAUUAAGCACUCCGCCUGGGGAGUACGUACGCAAGUAUGAAACUCAAAGGAAUUGACGGGG
rnacentral:rRNA from 1 species